rnacentral:tRNA from 1 species
AUUUAAAUAAUUUAAAUAAAAUUUUGAUUUGUGGGAUCAAAUAUAUACAUUUUUGUAUUUUAAAUA